GACGAACGCUGGCGGCGUGCCUAAUACAUGCAAGUUGGGCGCUGAAGGUUGGUACUUGUACCAACUGGAUGAGCAGCGAACGGGUGAGUAACGCGUGGGGAAUCUGCCUUUGAGCGGGGGACAACAUUUGGAAACGAAUGCUAAUACCGCAUAAAAACUUUAAACACAAGUUUUAAGUUUGAAAGAUGCAAUUGCUUCACUCAAAGAUGAUCCCGCGUUGUAUUAGCUAGUUGGUGAGGUAAAGGCUCACCAAGGCGAUGAUACAUAGCCGACCUGAGAGGGUGAUCGGCCACAUUGGGACUGAGACACGGCCCAAACUCCUACGGGAGGCAGCAGUAGGGAAUCUUCGGCAAUGGACGAAAGUCUGACCGAGCAACGCCGCGUGAGUGAAGAAGGUUUUCGGAUCGUAAAACUCUGUUGGUAGAGAAGAACGUUGGUGAGAGUGGAAAGCUCAUCAAGUGACGGUAACUACCCAGAAAGGGACGGCUAACUACGUG
rnacentral:rRNA from 1 species